GAUGAAGAACGCAGCGAAAUGCGAUACGUAAUGUGAAUUGCAGAAUUCAGUGAAUCAUCGAAUCUUUGAACGCAUAUUGCGCUCUCUGGUAUUCCGGAGAGCAUGCUUGUUUGAGUAUCAGUAAACACCUCAACUCCCUUUUCUUUUUUGAAAUGGGAGCUGGACUUGAGUGAUCCCAACACUUUUCUCACUGGAAAGUGGCGGGUCACUUGAAAUGCAGGUGCAGCUGGACUUUUCUCUGAGCUAUAAGCAUAUCUAUUUAGUCUGCCUAAAAAACAGAUUAUUACCUUUGCUACAGCUAACAUAAAGGAGAUGAGUUCUUGUGCUGACUGAUGCAGGAUUCACAGAGACAGCUUUGCGGCUGACUUUGUAAACUCGAUCUCAAAUCAAGUAAGACUACCCGCUGAACUUAAGCAUAUCAAUAAGCGGAGGA
rnacentral:misc_RNA from 1 species